rnacentral:rRNA from 1 species
AUUGAACGCUGGCGGAAUGCUUUACACAUGCAAGUCGAACGGCAGCACGGGGGCAGCCCUGGUGGCGAGUGGCGAACGGGUGAGUAAUACAUCGGAACGUGCCCGGUCGUGGGGGAUAACGUAGCGAAAGUUACGCUAAUACCGCAUACGAUCUGAGGAUGAAAGCGGGGGACCUUCGGGCCUCGCGCGAUCGGAGCGGCCGAUGUCAGAUUAGGUAGUUGGUGGGGUAAAGGCCUACCAAGCCGACGAUCUGUAGCUGGUCUGAGAGGACGACCAGCCACACUGGGACUGAGACACGGCCCAGACUCCUACGGGAGGCAGCAGUGGGGAAUUUUGGACAAUGGGCGCAAGCCUGAUCCAGCCAUUCCGCGUGCAGGACGAAGGCCUUCGGGUUGUAAACUGCUUUUGUACGGAACGAAAAGGCUCUGGCUAAUACCUGGGGCUCAUGACGGUACCAUAAGAAUAAGCACCGGCUAACUACGUG